UACGGAGGGGGCUAGCGUUGUUCGGAAUUACUGGGCGUAAAGCGCACGUAGGCGGCUUUGUAAGUUAGAGGUGAAAGCCCGGGGCUCAACUCCGGAAUUGCCUUUAAGACUGCAUCGCUAGAAUUGUGGAGAGGUAAGUGGAAUUCCGAGUGUAGAGGUGAAAUUCGUAGAUAUUCGGAAGAACACCGGUGGCGAAGGCGGCCUGCUGGGCAGUAGCUGACGCUGAUGCGCGACAGCGUGGGGAGCAAACAGG
rnacentral:rRNA from 1 species